UACGUAGGGUGCGAGCGUUAAUCGGAAUUACUGGGCGUAAAGCGUGCGCAGGCGGUGAUGUAAGACCGAUGUGAAAUCCCCGGGCUUAACCUGGGAACUGCAUUGGUGACUGCAUUGCUGGAGUAUGGCAGAGGGGGGGUGGAAUUCCACGUGUAGCAGUGAAAUGCGUAGAGAUGUGGAGGAACACCGAUGGCGAAGGCAGCCCCCUGGGCCAAUACUGACGCUCAUGCACGAAGCGUGGGGAGCAAACAGG
rnacentral:rRNA from 1 species